rnacentral:rRNA from 1 species
GAUGAACGCUGGCGGCGUGCCUAAUACAUGCAAGUCGAGCGAACGGACGAGAAGCUUGCUUCUCUGAUGUUAGCGGAGGGCGGGUGAGUAACACGUGGAUAACCUACCUAUAAGACUGGGAAAACUUCGGGACACCGGAGCUAAUACCGGAUAAUCUUUUGAACCGCGGGGUUCAAAGGUGAAAGACGGUCUUGCUGUCACUUCUAGAUGGAUCCGAGCUGCAUUAGCGAGUUGUUACGGUAACGGCCUACGAAGGCAACUAUGCAUGGCCGACCUGUUAGAGGGAUCGCCCGCCCUGGAGCUGAGACGCGGUCCUGGCUCCUGCGGGAGGCAGCAGUAGGGAACGUGCCGCAGCGGGCGGAAGCCUUACGGAGCAGCCCCGCGUGAGUGAUGAAGGUCCUCGGAUCGUAAAACUCGGUUAUUAGGGAUGAACAUAUUUGGAAGGUACUGUGCACAGCGUGACGGUACCGAAUCAGAAAGCCCCGGCUAACUACGUG